UCCGACCUGUCAAUCAAACUAAUCAUUAUUGACCAAUGAGAAAGCUGCAAAUUAUUCACCGAGUCCCGUCCGCCAUCUUUACCCACAAACACAGCAGCGAUAACUGUUUACAACCGGACAUUUUAUUGAAGUUUUAAGACUGAUUUGUGAAAAUGGUUAAACGAUGCGGAUGGGGAAUAUGUUAUGCAGAUUAAGGUAUCCGGAGGGACUAAAUGGAGGCCGAUUUAAACGAUUUCCGACCUAUAAUUAAUAUAAUCCGAUAUUGAGAAGUGCAAAUGCUGGAUUAAAGCCUGUGGACGGCCACAAGAGAAACUGAAUGUCAACAGGAUAAACAAGCACGAAGAUGUCUGCUCGAAGCACUUUCAUGGAGGAAAUGGACCAUCUUAAGAGUAUCCUGACCCACCAUCAGCUGAUGGCUGGAGAAUAACAUCUUCAAGAAAACUCCCCACAAAGCGGUCACUUGGAAAGGAAACUUAUGGCAGCAUUUAUACACAAAAUGCAAGUAGAAAAGCUGGUCCAGGAUCCUGCAGACACUGUACCAGGAGUAGAAACACAGACCG